rnacentral:rRNA from 1 species
UACGUAGGGUGCGAGCGUUGUCCGGAAUUAUUGGGCGUAAAGAGCUCGUAGGCGGUUUGUCGCGUCUGCUGUGAAAACUGGAGGCUCAACCUCCAGCCUGCAGUGGGUACGGGCAGACUAGAGUGCGGUAGGGGGAGAUUGGAAUUCCUGGUGUAGCGGUGGAAUGCGCAGAUAUCAGGAGGAACACCGAUGGCGAAGGCAGAUCUCUGGGGCCGUAACUGACGCUGAGGAGCGAAAGCAUGGGGAGCGAACAGG